CCUACGGGAGGCAGCAGUGAGGAAUAUUGGUCAAUGGCCGGAAGGCUGAACCAGCCAAGCCGCGUGAAGGACGAAGGUGCCAAGCAUUGUAAACUUCUUUUGUAAAGGGACAAAAUCAGGCACGAGAGCCUGACCGAGGGUACUUGAAGAAAAAGCAUCGGCUAACUCCGUGCCAGAAGCCGCGGUAAUACGGAGGAUGCGAGCGUUAUCCGGAUUUAUUGGGUUAAAAGGGUGCGUAGGCGGGCUGUUAAGUCAGAGGUAAAAGCCCGGGGCUCAACCCCGGCGUGCCGUUGAAACUGGCUGUCUUGAGUUGUCGAGAGGUAGGCGGAAUGC
rnacentral:rRNA from 1 species